CGGCACGUAGCGCAGCCUGGUAGCGCACCGUCAUGGGGGUGUCGUUCCUUAAAAGGUUCAAAUCCUCUCGUGCCGACCA
rnacentral:tRNA from 1 species